rnacentral:piRNA from 1 species
UAGGCUUUAUUUUUUUAAUGUGG